GACGAACGCUGGCGGCGUGCUUAACACAUGCAAGUCGAACGGAAAGGCCCUGCUUUCGUGGGGUGCUCGAGUGGCGAACGGGUGAGUAACACGUGAGUAACCUGCCCUUGACUUUGGGAUAACUUAAGGAAACUGGGGCUAAUACCGGAUAGGAGCUCCUGCUGCAUGGUGGGGGUUGGAAAGUUUCGGCGGUUGGGGAUGGACUCGCGGCUUAUCAGCUUGUUGGUGGGGUAGUGGCUUACCAAGGCUUUGACUGGUAGCCGGCCUGAGAGGGUGACCGGCCACAAUAGGACUGAGAGACGGCGCAGUGUCGAACGGUGGACAGCAGUGGGGAAUAUUGCACAGUGGUCGGAAGUCUGAUGCAGCAACGCCGCGGGCGUAAUGACGGCCUUCUGGUUGUGAACCGCAUUCGCCUAUGACGAAGCGGGAGUGACGGUAAUGGAUGAAGAAGCACCGGCUAACUACGUG
rnacentral:rRNA from 1 species